rnacentral:rRNA from 1 species
UGCCAGCAGCCGCGGUAAUACGUAGGGUGCAAGCGUUAAUCGGAAUUACUGGGCGUAAAGCGUGCGCAGGCUGUUUUGUAAGUCAGAUGUGAAAUCCCCGAGCUCAACUUGGGAACUGCGUUUGAAACUACAAGACUAGAAUAGGUCAGAGGGGGGUAGAAUUCCACGUGUAGCAGUGAAAUGCGUAGAGAUGUGGAGGAAUACCAAUGGCGAAGGCAGCCCCCUGGGAUCAUAUUGACGCUCAUGCACGAAAGCGUGGGGAGCGAACAGGAUUAGAUA